rnacentral:rRNA from 1 species
UGAGACACGGCCCGAACUCCUACGGGAGGCAGCAGUGGGGAAUAUUGGACAAUGGGGGCAACCCUGAUCCAGCCAUGCCGCGUGUGUGAAGAAGGCCCUCGGGUUGUAAAGCACUUUCAGCGAGGAAGAACGCCUAGCGGUUAAUACCCGCUAG